UACGAAGGGUGCAAGCGUUACUCGGAAUUACUGGGCGUAAAGCGUGCGUAGGCGGUUUGUUAAGUCCGUUGUGAAAGCCCUGGGCUCAACCUGGGAAUUGCAGUGGAUACUGGCGAGCUAGAGUGCGGUAGAGGAUGGUGGAAUUCCCGGUGUAGCGGUGAAAUGCGUAGAGAUCAGGAGGAACACCCGUGGCGAAGGCGGCUCUCUGGUCGACAUCUGACGCUGAGACGCGAAAGCGUGGGGAGCGAACGGG
rnacentral:rRNA from 1 species